AAUUUCAUACUCGUAGUCUCU
rnacentral:miRNA from 1 species